GACGAACGCUGGCGGCGUGCUUAACACAUGCAAGUCGAACGGUGAAGCACCAGAUCGCUGGUGUGUCAAAGUUGCGAACGGACGAGUAAGUAGUGAGCAACCUGCCCGUGCCUCUGGAAUAAGCGCUGGAUGCGGAGUCUAACUAUGGCUACGUGCAGGGUACGCAUGGGCACUUUCUGGAAAGUAAUUCGGCUGGGGAUGGGCGCGCGGCCUAUCAGCUUGUUGGUGAGGUAAUGGAUCACGAAGGCGACGAAGGGUAGCAGGCCUGGGAGGGCGACCGGCCACACUGGGAUAGAGACGCGGGCAGUACUGCUACGGGAGGCAUCGGUGAGAGAUAGUGCACGAUGGGCGGAGGCCGUAAGCAGCGACGCCGCGUGGGAGAGGUCGGCCUUCGGGUUGUAAACCUCUUUCAGCAAAUAAGAAGCAGGAUUGACGGUACCGGCAUAAGAAGCACCGGCUAACUACGUG
rnacentral:rRNA from 1 species